GCUAUAGCUCAGUGGUAGAGAAUCCGCUUUGCACGCAGAAGAUCUCUGGUUCAAUCCCCGGCACCUGCA